UUGAACGCUGGCGGCAUGCCUUACACAUGCAAGUCGAACGGUAACAGGUCUUCGGAUGCUGACGAGUGGCGAACGGGUGAGUAAUACAUCGGAACGUGCCCGAUCGUGGGGGAUAACGCAGCGAAAGCUGUGCUAAUACCGCAUACGAUCUACGGAUGAAAGCGGGGGAUCGCAAGACCUCGCGCGGACGGAGCGGCCGAUGGCAGAUUAGGUAGUUGGUGGGAUAAAAGCUUACCAAGCCGACGAUCUGUAGCUGGUCUGAGAGGACGACCAGCCACACUGGGACUGAGACACGGCCCAGACUCCUACGGGAGGCAGCAGUGGGGAAUUUUGGACAAUGGGCGCAAGCCUGAUCCAGCCAUGCCGCGUGAGUGAAGAAGGCCUUCGGGUUGUAAAGCUCUUUCGGCGGGGAAGAAAUCGCACUGGUUAAUACCUGGUGUGGAUGACGGUACCCGAAUAAGAAGCACCGGCUAACUACGU
rnacentral:rRNA from 1 species